CGAACGGGUGAGUAACACGUGGGCAAUCUGCCCUUCACUCUGGGACAAGCCCUGGAAACGGGGUCUAAUACCGGAUAACACUCCUGCCUGCAUGGGUGGGGGUUAAAAGCUCCGGCGGUGAAGGAUGAGCCCGCGGCCUAUCAGCUUGUUGGUGAGGUAGUGGCUCACCAAGGCGACGACGGGUAGCCGGCCUGAGAGGGCGACCGGCCACACUGGGACUGAGACACGGCCCAGACUCCUACGGGAGGCAGCAGUGGGGAAUAUUGCACAAUGGGCGAAAGCCUGAUGCAGCGACGCCGCGUGAGGGAUGACGGCCUUCGGGUUGUAAACCUCUUUCAGCAGGGAAGAAGCGAAAGUGACGGUACCUGCAGAAGAAGCGCCGGCUAACUACGUGCCAGCAGCCGCGGUAAUACGUAGGGCGCAAGCGUUGUCCGGAAUUAUUGGGCGUAAAGAGCUCGUAGGCGGCUUGUCACGUCGGUUGUGAAAGCCCGGGGCUUAACCCCGGGUCUGCAGUCGAUACGGGCAGGCUAGAGUGUGGUAGGGGAGAUCGGAAUUCCUGGUGUAGCGGUGAAAUGCGCAGAUAUCAGGAGGAACACCGGUGGCGAAGGCGGAUCUCUGGGCCAUUACUGACGCUGAGGAGC
rnacentral:rRNA from 1 species